GACGAACGCUGGCGGCGUGCUUAACACAUGCAAGUCGAACGGUGACCUGAGGUGCUUGCACCUUGGUGAUCAGUGGCGAACGGGUGAGUAACACGUGAGGAACCUGCCCCAGACUCUGGAAUAACCCCGGGAAACCGGAGCUAAUACCGGAUAUGACAUCAGGCCGCAUGGUCAUGGUGUGGAAAGUUUUUCGGUCUGGGAUGGCCUCGCGGCCUAUCAGCUUGUUGGUGAGGUAGUGGCCCACCAAGGCGACGACGGGUAGCCGGCCUGAGAGGGCGACCGGCCACACUGGGACUGAGACACGGCCCAGACUCCUACGGGAGGCAGCAGUGGGGAAUAUUGCACAAUGGGCGAAAGCCUGAUGCAGCGACGCCGCGUGAGGGAUGACGGCCUUCGGGUUGUAAACCUCUUUCAGUAGGGAAGAAGCGCAAGUGACGGUACCUACAGAAGAAGCACCGGCUAACUACGUGCCAGCCGCCGCGGUAAAAC
rnacentral:rRNA from 1 species